CGUCCACCCACGCCUUACCGAUGGAGACAGGAGGCCCUGUGUGGGGCAGGGAGCUCGCACAGAGCAGGAAUUCGGGCCCUGAAUCCUAGGGGGGGCUCUGCCAAUGCCCGGGCCCGGGAGGCACGCCUCACGUGUGUCCGAACCCAAAGUAAUCUGGUCCUGCUGCCAUCUUAUGACCUAGUGGCUGCACGGGGAUGGCUGGAUGUGGAGCAUCGCUCAGCCCUGCCCCCUAGGUUCCUUCGGUUCCUGCUUUUCCAAUCAAAACAUCUCAAGUCAAUAAUCUUCCUUGGCAACGUUCUCGAACAGACAUGAAACGUUCUGCUGAGCGGCCCCGUCUUCGUUUGCGCUACCCCUGUCCUCUGGCGGGACAUCGAGGUGAUUUCCAGUUUCUCUCUGCCAUAAAAAAGGCCGUGACGAACAUCCUCAGCACCCCAAGCUUGGGUCACAUCUCCAAAGAUGCCUGCAGGAGGCGUUCCCAGAAGUGGGGGGUGAGCGGGCCAAAGGUUGUGAACCUCCUUUAAGCAACAAAAACAUCCUGCUAAGUGUCCUUCAGAAAAAUGGCACUGAGUCCUGCCAGCAGUAGAGGAAAUUCUUCAUCUCGCUUCCCCCUCCCCCACUCCCCCCCCCCAGCAUCGGGUGUCCCACAAAGCCAGGGGCUUUGUGCACCUGCGCUUACUGGCUGUCGUGGACCGGCUCUGGGCACCCGCUGGGGGACGUGGCCGCACAUCACACUGUUUAGGCAGCUGCUAUGAGGUGCCAGUGCCUCUAGGGUCCACACAAGUCAGGGAAGAUCUAUGUCGUUUUCUUUGAUUUCAAAUGAAGUGGCUUCUAAACACCGCUUAAAAAUACGUUAAUAAUGGUGGCGACGUAUCACCCAUCUUGAAGAAGUGACAGGCGUUUCCCUCAGCAAAAUGUUAAGUGGGAGAGUGGGUUAGGGCGUUAGGAGAUUGAUUCGUUUCUGCCAAAGGGCUCAUUACCUCUUGUCUAGACGACCUCCUGACUGGUCCCCUGCCUCCAGCUCCCGCAGCCCACCCCCCGCCUCCGGCCCAAUCCCUCCCCCACACUGAGGUCUAGUUAACCUUGUUGACGUGGUUCGGGAAAGUGGGAUGUGUGAGGGGCUUGGAGUCAGGUGCCCGGGGUUCUGGUCCGUGUUCUGUCACUGAGUUCCUGGGUGUGGUGGGUCCACAUCUACCUCUGUGUCCCCCUUUUCUUGGAUCGGCACUCCGGGUUUCCUUUGAGGUCCCACUCUGCCCUUUCUCAGUCUUGGGAUGUCAUGGCAGGCUGACACUGCUCCCCACCACCCCCCCCCCCCCAUUCAGAGGUAAGCAUAUUAUACCUAGGCUUGGCCAUUGAGAGUUCUGCAGACCCCCGGCCCAAUGAUCAAGGGGCAGCGUGUGUCUGAGGCUGAGCCAGCCAUUUUCUGAGGGCUGGAUCCAACUGUACCUGAAGCUCACUCUCAACAUCCUGGUUAUGUGAGCCAAAUCUCCACUCCUCCUCCUCCUCCUCCUCCUCCUCCUCCUCCAAAUCCAUCUGAAUUGGGUGCUUGUUACUUGUAAACAAAAGAGCUGAGACUGGUACACAGCGUGACCUUGGGCAAGUCCUUUUUUCUGUGGUGGUCUCAGUUGUUCCAUCUGGGAAAUGAAAGAGUUGGGAUUCUUUGAGGUUCUUCUAGCCUGGGAAGUUCAAGUUCCCCAUCUGGGUUGGGAGGGUCACAGGUGGAAGGGCUGGCCCGUCCGGAGACUCCAUUGCUGUGCAACAUCGCCAGGAGCAACCUCAGUGGGCACAGUUCUCCCCAGACCUCCAAAGGGCUGCCCCGGGGCAAAGGCAGUGGUAGAGUAGCCUCCCCUGGGGGAAGAUCCGGGGGCACCCUGGCGUUUCCUGGAACAUCGUGACCAGCAUUGAGAGGUGCUGCCCCUGCUCUGUGUCUCUCAAUGGCUCCCAAGUACCUUCAGGAUUAAGUCCUACCUACCCCCUUCAAUGGGCAGAAGGCCAGGCUCCGCACAGGGCUUAAUAAAUAUUAAAUGAACAAUCGAAUGAGCAAA